UCCGUGAUAGUUUAACGGUUAGAAUAGGCGUUUGUCGCAUGCCUGAUCGGGGUUCGAUUCCCCGUCGCGGAG
rfam:Hanseniaspora uvarum DSM 2768 Contig_89, whole genome shotgun sequence.